CCUACGGGCGGCAGCAGUGAGGAAUAUUGGUCAAUGGACGAGAGUCUGAACCAGCCAAGUAGCGUGAAGGAUGACUGCCCUAUGGGUUGUAAACUUCUUUUAUAUGGGAAUAAAAUGUUCCACGUGUGGGAUUUUGUAUGUACCAUAUGAAUAAGAAUCGGAUAACUCCGUGCCAGCAGCCGCGGUAAUACGGAGGAUCCGAGCGUUAUCCGGAUUUAUUGGGUUUAAAGGGAGCGUAGGUGGAUUGUUAAGUCAGUUGUGAAAGUUUGCGGCUCAACCGUAAAAUUGCAGUUGAAACUGGCAGUCUAGAGUACAGUAGAGGUGGGCGGAAUUCGUGGUGUAGCGGUGAAAUGCUUAGAUAUCACGAAGAACUCCGAUGGCGAAGGCAGCUCACUGUACUGCAACUGACACUGAGGCUCGAAAGUGUGGGUAUCAAACAGGAUUAGAUACCCGUGUAGUC
rnacentral:rRNA from 1 species